rnacentral:rRNA from 1 species
AGCCCGGUUCGCCGGGCGAGUAAAGUGGCGCACGGGUGAGUAACGCGUGGAUAACCUACCUCUUUCUGGGGGAUAACGCACCGAAAGGUGCGCUAAUACCGCAUAACCCGGCGAAAUUUCGGUUUUGUCGGUAAAGGUGGCCUCUUCAUGAAAGCUACCGGGAAGGGAUGAGUCCGCGUCCCAUUAGCUAGUUGGUGGGGUAAAGGCCUACCAAGGCGACGAUGGGUAGCUGGUCUGAGAGGACGAUCAGCCACACUGGAACUGGAACACGGUCCAGACUCCUACGGGAGGCAGCAGUGAGGAAUAUUGCGCAAUGGGGGAAACCCUGACGCAGCGAUGCCGCGUGAGUGAAGAAGGCCUUCGGGUCGUAAAGCUCUGUCAAGUGGGAAGAAUUGCGGCGGGACGAAUAAUCCCGUCGUCUGACGGUACCACUGAAGGAAGCACCGGCUAACUCCGUGCCAGCAGCCGCGGUAAGACGGAGGGUGCGAGCGUUAUUCGGAUUUAUUGGGCGUAAAGAGCAUGUAGGCGGCCGGUCAAGCCAGAUGUGAAAGCCCAGGGCUUAACCCUGGAAGUGCAUUUGGAA